rnacentral:rRNA from 1 species
GAUGAACGCUGGCGGCUUGCCUAAUACAUGCAAGUCGAGCGAAUGGAUUAAGAGCUUGCUCUUAUGAAGUUAGCGGCGGACGGGUGAGUAACACGUGGGUAACCUGCCCAUAAGACUGGGAUAACUCCGGGAAACCGGGGCUAAUACCGGAUAACAUUUUGAACCGCAUGGUUCGAAAUUGAAAGGCGGCUUCGGCUGUCACUUAUGGAUGGACCCGCGUCGCAUUAGCUAGUUGGUGAGGUAACGGCUCACCAAGGCAACGAUGCGUAGCCGACCUGAGAGGGUGAUCGGCCAAACUGGGACUGAGACACGGCCCAGACUCCUACGGGAGGCAGCAGUAGGGAAUCUUCCGCAGUGGACGAAAGUCUGACGGAGCAACGCCGCGUGAGUGAUGAAGGCUUUCGGGUCGUAAAACUCUGUUGUUAGGGAAGAACAAGUGCUAGUUGAAUAAGCUGACACCUUGACGGUACCUAACCAGAAAGCCACGGCUAACUACGUGCCAGCCGCCGCCGUAA